UCAAUCAGGUCAACCAUGCGUUAGAUGAAGAUGGAUAAAUCGUGGCCUCAGAUGUUUUGCGCAACUCUACAGCGUGUUAACCCAUAAAUUUGCAGUUCCGCGAGGUUCUUCGAGGUUGCCGAGUGACAACGGGUGGUGGCUGCCUUGACGAAACAAGUGAUCUAGUAUUGUCCAGGGGCGUUCGCUGUUCAACGGUUUCUCACUGGUUUCUCUACAGUGGAAGCGGCGCUGCCGCAGCGAAUCACCAUGCAAGAGCGCGUCCCAUGAAAUGCUGCCGCCUUCAUGAACACUCGGAGGCAACCCUUUUCGGGAAGAAAACAGACUCCAUACCUGUGCCGGGAAAACACGGAAGAGCUGGCAGCCACGUACGCCCUUGCAUGCGCCGUCAGGAGACCUUCACCAACUUGGAAGAAACGAACCACCAGCAAAAGCAGCUGGAGGCCGUGUUGACACCUUUUUGAAGAAUGUUCGUGGAACCUCGUAGAAGACCGACGUCAUUGUGCAUCGCAUCGAUCUUGGCGAAACCCCACCUUGACUUUCGUCUUGCUACUGAGUACUCUUGCGACUUAACACCGCUCAAGCAGCUAAAGCAAGCCAUUCUCGUUAAAUCUCUGGACAAGAUUAUUGACAUGGAGACCAUGUGACCCCUGAAGUGUUCAUGGGCCUUCCGGGUCGUACUGAAUCCAAAAGAAGCUGGUGUGGCUGAUGAACAGUUGUGCAGUGCGAG